UUUCAAGAAAGAAAAUGGAAAACCCACAA
rnacentral:piRNA from 1 species